rnacentral:rRNA from 1 species
CCUACGGGAGGCAGCAGUGAGGAAUAUUGGUCAAUGGACGAGAGCCUGAACCAGCCAAGUAGCGUGAAGGAUGACUGCCCUAUGGGUUGUAAACUUCUUUUAUAUGGGAAUAAAACAGGGUAUGCAUACCCUCUUGUAUGUACCAUAUGAAUAAGCAUCGGCUAACUCCGUGCCAGCAGCCGCGGUAAUACGGAGGAUCCGAGCGUUAUCCGGAUUUAUUGGGUUUAAAGGGAGCGUAGGUGGAUUGUUAAGUCAGUUGUGAAAGUUUGGGGCUCAACCGUAGGAUUGCAGUUGAAACUGGCAGUCUUGAGUACAGUAGAGGUGGGCGGAAUGCGUGGUGUAGCGGUGAAAUGCUUAGAUAUCACGAAGAACUCCGAUUGCGAAGGCAGCUCACUGGAGUGCAACUGACGCUGAUGCUCGAAAGUGUGGGUAUCAAACAGGAUUAGAUACCCUGGUAGUC